UACGAAGGGGGCUAGCGUUGCUCGGAAUUACUGGGCGUAAAGGGUGCGUAGGCGGGUCUUUAAGUCAGGGGUGAAAUCCUGGAGCUCAACUCCAGAACUGCCUUUGAUACUGAAGAUCUUGAGUUCGGAGAGGUGAGUGGAACUGCGAGUGUAGAGGUGAAAUUCGUAGAUAUUCGCAAGAACACCAGUGGCGAAGGCGGCUCACUGGCCCGAUACUGACGCUGAGGCACGAAAGCGUGGGAGCAAACAGG
rnacentral:rRNA from 1 species